GCUAAAACAGAAGAGAUAAAUAACAUCACUGACUCCAAGCCAAAGUGCAGGGCAUCCAUACCUCCUGUCACAAUCCAGCCAGUGGGACACCACUGAGUAGAACCUACCUUGCCUCCCACCUUUCUUCAUUCACUAUGACUCUUGGUUACCAGAUUUUCAAGAUAUCCCACGACCUCAAGAGCUUGAAUUUAAUCACCACAACCAGUGGAACUGGUUGGUGUUUAACCUUGAGCCCAGAGUAACGCACAGAAGAUCAUGUUGCUGGAUGACUCCUGACAUAAAUAUUGUGAAAAAUUUCCAUGUCAGCACAGAGCAACUUCUAGGAUACAUUAAUAAGAAGAAAAACAAGGGACAGAGGUUUGUGCUGAAUUCCUUCUUCUUUAUGUAGGCAAAGAUGAAGAGCAAAAAGGUGUGUUCAUAUCUGCUUAUAUUUUUCCCAAAGAAACCCCGGAGAGGCCGUGUGGAUCUUUAAACAAGUGGUAACCAGGGUACAUAUCAGAAGAGGUAAUGAAAGUGAGGCUCCAGGCUGGCUGUGGCCUCCCCAACUCAUGCUGAAAGUUACUUGCCACUUAAAGAAUAUGAGGUGAGACUUUUAGGGUGCGGUGAUGUCAUGGGAGUCAGUAGAGGCUGUUACUGUGGGAGUUAGUUACAGUCCAGUGUGCUCCUGAUAAAAGAGAGAGAAAGAGAGAUAUUGACUUCUCCUCUGUCUGCAUAUACUGAUUUGUCCCUUCUGCUACGUCAUGACAUAACCGAAGUCGCCACCAGAAGCUGAUACAGUGUUCUCGACUUUCCCAGCCACCAGAAACAUGAGCCGCAUAAUUUAUUAUUCUUUUGGUAUGCUAGGUUUUUUUUUUCAUUUUUAUAUGGUUUUUGUCUUUUAACUGUAUGUACAUCUUAGCUUUCCAAAAAUAACAUUAAAGAUCACCAGAUGUAAUCUAAGCAAAUCUAUUUGUUUAUACCAUACAAUAACAACGGGUUAUUGAAAACCAGCUUUUGCUUCCUGUCACUUGGCAAGCUUGUAAACAUCCACCAUUGAAGAGUUCAUAGACCUGCAGCGGAGAAGAUUCCCUCUGGAUCGAGUGUGAUCUCUUCCUGGUAUUCACAACACAGUGAUAGCUGCUUCCUUCCUCUCGGGAUUCUGGCUUCUGUUGCCACCCCGGAGGCCCAACCCAGAACACAGCAGAAAAGAGCUGAUGCAGACACCUCUUACAAGGCUGUUUGACUUCCUAAACAGGGCCACCAACUGUGGAGCAAGUGUCCAAAUACCUGAACUAUGGGGGACGUCUCUCAUCUAAACCACCAUAAUUAUCAGUCCAUGUAAUUGGAAGUGACGCUCAACAAAAGCACAAAAUGUUUACUAAUUUUGAAGUCCAAGAGGAUUUUCUGCUGUUACAUGUCUUACCAGUCGUGUUAAGCAUACUUUAUGGCAUUGGAACAAAUCUGGCAGGUCUUGAUGCAAAUUUUUGUGCUCCUAGAACCGAUGGCUUGAAACAAGUUCUCUAAGAACACUCGACUUCAUACAAACCGCUUGCUAAGACUGAAUGUAAAAUCUGAAGUGUACAAUUAGGCAAUGGCAUUUGCUAUUUGCUCAGGCACUAUAAUUUUCAGUAGAAAGCCCAAACCUCUGUGCUCUGUGAUCUGUAUGUAUUCCAAAAGGCCCCUUUAUGCACUCUAUGUCUGUACCUUAAAUGACCAAGUCUGGUGUAUUUUUGAACCCACCUUCCUUGUUAAUAAUUGGUUCGUGGGAAACCUCCUGUGAAGAGUCUGUUUGUGUGUGUGUGUGUGUGUGUGUGUGUGUGUGUGUGUGUGUGUGUCUACCUCAUCUGUGCUCUAGAGUCAGACGCCCUGGUGGCUGGUCCUCUGACCUUCUCUCUCACCCUCUUUCUGUCUCAGGAACAGCAACUGUCAGGUGUGGGCUCCAUUGUCAUAGAGCUCUGCAGCAGAAAUAGGUUCAGCUGCCUUGUGAUAAAGGUACCAUGGGCUGCUCUGGCUUCCUGCUCUGAGUGACUCACUCCCCCAUUGUCUCCCCCAGGGGACUUACUGUCCGUCAUAAGGUUUGUUUCUGAAAACAUACAGCUGACCACAAUUUCAUCUUACUUAAGAACUAAAGGGGAUUUCCUGAGGAAGGGCUGGGGGAAGGGCAUCCCCAAGCCUAGAGACACUGCUCCCUGACUUGCCCCCGUGAUGGCAGCCUAGCCAAGGGUGCUGACAGGAAGUAUAAUUUCCUGUGUGUUGGCUGGGGGCAAAGCAGCAGCAGCAGCGAGCCCUUGCACCUCCACUGGACUCUGCUUACUUUCCUCAUGUAGGAAAUGGGACCCAGCCAACUAAGCUCCUCAUUCUCUUAGGCUGCAGGUCAGCAACCACUUUGUGGACAGGAAAUGAGUAAUUAGUGUCAAUGGCUUCCCAGUUUCUGUGCAUCUCAUCCACACUGCCAUCGUAGCAGAAG